AGCGUACACGGUGGAUGCCCUGGCAGUCAGAGGCGAUGAAGGACGUGCUAAUCUGCGAUAAGCGUCGGUGAGGUGAUAUGAACCGUUAUAACCGGCGAUUUCCGAAUGGGGAAACCCAGUGUGAUUCGUCACACUAUCAUUAACUGAAUCCAUAGGUUAAUGAGGCGAACCGGGGGAACUGAAACAUCUAAGUACCCCGAGGAAAAGAAAUCAACCGAGAUUCCCCCAGUAGCGGCGAGCGAACGGGGAGGAGCCCAGAGCCUGAAUCAGUGUGUGUGUUAGUGGAAGCGUCUGGAAAGGCGUGCGAUACAGGGUGACAGCCCCGUACACAAAAAUGCACAUAUUGUGAGCUCGAUGAGUAGGGCGGGACACGUGGUAUCCUGUCUGAAUAUGGGGGGACCAUCCUCCAAGGCUAAAUACUCCUGACUGACCGAUAGUGAACCAGUACCGUGAGGGAAAGGCGAAAAGAACCCCGGCGAGGGGAGUGAAAAAGAACCUGAAACCGUGUACGUACAAGCAGUGGGAGCCUCUUAAUGGGGUGACUGCGUACCUUUUGUAUAAUGGGUCAGCGACUUAUAUUCUGUAGCAAGGUUAACCGAAUAGGGGAGCCGAAGGGAAACCGAGUCUUAACUGGGCGUUAAGUUGCAGGGUAUAGACCCGAAACCCGGUGAUCUAGCCAUGGGCAGGUUGAAGGUUGGGUAACACUAACUGGAGGACCGAACCGACUAAUGUUGAAAAAUUAGCGGAUGACUUGUGGCUGGGGGUGAAAGGCCAAUCAAACCGGGAGAUAGCUGGUUCUCCCCGAAAGCUAUUUAGGUAGCGCCUCGUGAAUUCAUCUCCGGGGGUAGAGCACUGUUUCGGCAAGGGGGUCAUCCCGACUUACCAACCCGAUGCAAACUGCGAAUACCGGAGAAUGUUAUCACGGGAGACACACGGCGGGUGCUAACGUCCGUCGUGAAGAGGGAAACAACCCAGACCGCCAGCUAAGGUCCCAAAGUCAUGGUUAAGUGGGAAACGAUGUGGGAAGGCCCAGACAGCCAGGAUGUUGGCUUAGAAGCAGCCAUCAUUUAAAGAAAGCGUAAUAGCUCACUGGUCGAGUCGGCCUGCGCGGAAGAUGUAACGGGGCUAAACCAUGCACCGAAGCUGCGGCAGCGACACUAUGUGUUGUUGGGUAGGGGAGCGUUCUGUAAGCCUGUGAAGGUGUGCUGUGAGGCAUGCUGGAGGUAUCAGAAGUGCGAAUGCUGACAUAAGUAACGAUAAAGCGGGUGAAAAGCCCGCUCGCCGGAAGACCAAGGGUUCCUGUCCAACGUUAAUCGGGGCAGGGUGAGUCGACCCCUAAGGCGAGGCCGAAAGGCGUAGUCGAUGGGAAACAGGUUAAUAUUCCUGUACUUGGUGUUACUGCGAAGGGGGGACGGAGAAGGCUAUGUUGGCCGGGCGACGGUUGUCCCGGUUUAAGCGUGUAGGCUGGUUUUCCAGGCAAAUCCGGAAAACCAAGGCUGAGGCGUGAUGACGAGGCACUACGGUGCUGAAGUGACAAAUGCCCUGCUUCCAGGAAAAGCCUCUAAGCAUCAGGUAACAUCAAAUCGUACCCCAAACCGACACAGGUGGUCAGGUAGAGAAUACCAAGGCGCUUGAGAGAACUCGGGUGAAGGAACUAGGCAAAAUGGUGCCGUAACUUCGGGAGAAGGCACGCUGAUAUGUAGGUGAAGCGACUUGCUCGUGGAGCUGAAAUCAGUCGAAGAUACCAGCUGGCUGCAACUGUUUAUUAAAAACACAGCACUGUGCAAACACGAAAGUGGACGUAUACGGUGUGACGCCUGCCCGGUGCCGGAAGGUUAAUUGAUGGGGUUAGCGGUAACGCGAAGCUCUUGAUCGAAGCCCCGGUAAACGGCGGCCGUAACUAUAACGGUCCUAAGGUAGCGAAAUUCCUUGUCGGGUAAGUUCCGACCUGCACGAAUGGCGUAAUGAUGGCCAGGCUGUCUCCACCCGAGACUCAGUGAAAUUGAACUCGCUGUGAAGAUGCAGUGUACCCGCGGCAAGACGGAAAGACCCCGUGAACCUUUACUAUAGCUUGACACUGAACAUUGAGCCUUGAUGUGUAGGAUAGGUGGGAGGCUUUGAAGUGUGGACGCCAGUCUGCAUGGAGCCGACCUUGAAAUACCACCCUUUAAUGUUUGAUGUUCUAACGUUGGCCCCUGAUCGGGGUUGCGGACAGUGUCUGGUGGGUAGUUUGACUGGGGCGGUCUCCUCCUAAAGAGUAACGGAGGAGCACGAAGGUUGGCUAAUCCUGGUCGGACAUCAGGAGGUUAGUGCAAUGGCAUAAGCCAGCUUGACUGCGAGCGUGACGGCGCGAGCAGGUGCGAAAGCAGGUCAUAGUGAUCCGGUGGUUCUGAAUGGAAGGGCCAUCGCUCAACGGAUAAAAGGUACUCCGGGGAUAACAGGCUGAUACCGCCCAAGAGUUCAUAUCGACGGCGGUGUUUGGCACCUCGAUGUCGGCUCAUCACAUCCUGGGGCUGAAGUAGGUCCCAAGGGUAUGGCUGUUCGCCAUUUAAAGUGGUACGCGAGCUGGGUUUAGAACGUCGUGAGACAGUUCGGUCCCUAUCUGCCGUGGGCGCUGGAGAACUGAGGGGGGCUGCUCCUAGUACGAGAGGACCGGAGUGGACGCAUCACUGGUGUUCGGGUUGUCAUGCCAAUGGCACUGCCCGGUAGCUAAAUGCGGAAGAGAUAAGUGCUGAAAGCAUCUAAGCACGAAACUUGCCCCGAGAUGAGUUCUCCCUGACUCCUUGA
rnacentral:rRNA from 1 species